rnacentral:rRNA from 1 species
CGAUUCCGGAGAGGGAGCCUGAGAAACGGCUACCACAUCUAAGGAAGGCAGCAGGCGCGCAAAUUACCCAAUCCUAAUACAGGGAGGUAGUGACAAGAAAUAACAAUACAGAGCCUUACGGUUUUGUAAUUGGAAUGAGUUAAGUAUAAACCCCUUAACAAGUAUCAAUUGGAGGGCAAGUCUGGUGCCAGCAGCCGCGGUAAUUCCAGCUCCAAUAGCGUAUAUUAAAGUUGUUGCAGUUAAAAAGCUCGUAGUUAAUUUUCUGUUAAUUUUUAUAUACAAUGCUACGGUAUUUAUAUAAUAUUAACAUAAUUCAUAUUACUUUUUAGUAUAUGAAACUUUACUUUGAGAAAAUUAGAGUGCUUAAAGCAGGCUAUUGCCUUGAAUACUCCAGCAUGGAAUAAUA